UCGAGGAUCAUUCGCAAUGGGGGAAACCCUGACGAUGCGACGCUGCGUGGAGGAUGAAGGCCUUCGGGUUGUAAACUCCUGUCAUGAGGGAAGAGGAGAGUGUCAUCAAUACUGACGCGAUUUGACGGUACCUCAAGAGGAAGCCACGGCUAACUCUGUGCCAGCAGCCGCGGUAAUACAGAGGUGGCGAGCGUUGUUCGGAUUUACUGGGCGUAAAGGGCGCGUAGGCGGCGAUGUGUGUCGGGUGUGAAAUCCCAGGGCUCAACCCUGGAAGUGCGCCCGAAACUGCAUCGCUCGAGUGCGGGAGGGGAGAUCGGAAUACAGGGUGUAGCGGUGAAAUGCGUUGAUAUCCUGUAGAACACCGGUGGCGAAGGCGGAUCUCUGGAACGCAACUGACGCUGAGGCGCGAAAGUCGGGGGAGCAAACA
rnacentral:rRNA from 1 species